rnacentral:lncRNA from 1 species
UUGUUGUUGUUGUUGUUGUCCAAUGUUUACUCUUUGUUUGUGUUGUUGUUGUUUUAUAGGUCUAACACAACCAUAAUAGCAACCAAGUUUACAACAUUUUUUGCCUGCACGACAUGAUGAAUCAUUCUGGCAGUUUCUGUUCAACUUCCCAUAACAAUUCGGAAAUAUGUCUCUUGGACACUUUGAGGUUGAAGUCGCUGGAAAGAAAACAUAUUCCCGAAUUGUAUGGGAAGUUGAACAGAAACUGCCAGAAUGAUUCAUCAUGUCGUGCAGGCAAAAAAUGUUGUAAACUUGGUUGCUAUUAUGGUUGUGUUAGACCUAUAAAACAACAACAACACAAACAAAGAGUAAACAUUGGACAACAACAACAACAACAA